rnacentral:rRNA from 1 species
GAUGAACGCUGGCGGCGUGCCUAAUACAUGCAAGUCGAGCGAACAGAUGAGGAGCUUGCUCCUCUGACGUUAGCGGCGGACGGGUGAGUAACACGUGGAUAACCUACCUAUAAGACUGGGAUAACUUCGGGAAACCGGAGCUAAUACCGGAUAAUAUAUUGAACCGCAUGGUUCAAUAGUGAAAGACGGUUUUGCUGUCACUUAUAGAUGGAUCCGCGCCGCAUUAGCUAGUUGGUAAGGUAACGGCUUACCAAGGCAACGAUGCGUAGCCGACCUGAGAGGGUGAUCGGCCACACGGGAACUGAGACACGGUCCAGACUCCUACGGGAGGCAGCAGUAGGGAAUCUUCCGCAAUGGGCGAAAGCCUGACGGAGCAACGCCGCGUGAGUGAUGAAGGUCUUCGGAUCGUAAAACUCUGUUAUUGGGGAAGAACAAAUGUGUAAGUAACUAUGCACGUCUUGACGGUACCUAAUCAGAAAGCCACGGCUAACUACGUG